UACAGAGGGUGCGAGCGUUAAUCGGAAUUACUGGGCGUAAAGCGCACGUAGGUGGCGACGUAAGUCGGGUGUGAAAGCCCCGGGCUCAACCUGGGAAUUGCAUUCGAGACUGCAUUGCUGGAGUACGGAAGAGGAGGGCGGAAUUCCCGGUGUAGCGGUGAAAUGCGUAGAUAUCUGAAGGAACAUCAGUGGCGAAAGCGACUUCCUGGACCAAUACUGACGCUCAUGUGCGAAAGCGUGGGGAGCAAACAGG
rnacentral:rRNA from 1 species